AGGGUUUGAUCCUGGCUCAGAACGAACGCUGGCGGCGUGGUUUAGGCAUGCAAGUCGUACGAGAAAAGGUCCUUCGGGGCCUGAGUACAGUGGCGGAAGGGUGAGUAAUGCCUAGACAACCUACCCUCGUGUUGGGGAUAACAGCUGGAAACGGCUGCUAAUACCGAAUGAGGCCUUCGGGUCGCAUGGCCUGAUGGUGAAAGGUGGGGAUCCUUCGGGACCUACCGCAUGAGGAGGGGUCUAGGUCCUAUCAGCUUGUUGGUGAGGUAACGGCUCACCAAGGCUUUGACGGGUAGCCGACCUGAGAGGGUGACCGGCCACACUGGGACUGAGACACUGCCCAGACUCCUACGGGAGGCUGCAGUCGAGAAUCUUCGGCAAUGGGCGCAAGCCUGACCGAGCGACGCCGCGUGGAGGAUGAAGGCCUUCGGGUUGUAAACUCCUGUCGCGGGUUAAGAAAUCCUCUGGUGUUAAUAUCACCUGUAGGUUGACGAAGGCCCGAAAGGAAGUCAUGGCUAACUCUGUGCCAGCAGCCGCGGUAAUACAGAGAUGGCAAGCGUUGUUCGGAAUUACUGGGCAUAAAGGGCACGUAGGCGGAUCCGUAAGUCAGGUGUGAAAUCCCUCGGCUCAACCGAGGAACUGCGCCUGAAACUUCGAGUCUUGAGGGCAGGAGGGGAGAGUGGAACUCUUGGUGGAGCGGUGAAAUGCGUAGAUACCAAGAGGAACGCCGGUGGCGAAAGCGACUCUCUGGCCUGCUUCUGACGCUGAUGUGCGAAAGCUAGGGGAGCAAACAGGAUUAGAUACCCUGGUAGUCCUAGCCGUAAACGAUGGGCACUAAGUAGGGGGAGUUCCGAAACCCUCCCUGCCGGAGCUAAUGCAUUAAGUGCCCCGCCUGGGGAGUAUGGUCGCAAGGCUAAAACUCAAAGGAAUUGACGGGGGCUCACACAAGCGGUGGAGCAUGUGGUUUAACUCGAGGCAACGCGAAGAACCUUACCGGGGCUUGACAUGCUUGGAUUAGCCUCCUGAAAGGGAGGGGACGCCCUUCGGGGUGGAACUUGCACAGGUGUUGCAUGGCUGUCGUCAGCUCGUGCCGUGAGGUGUCGGGUUAAGUCCCAUAACGAGCGAAACCCUUAUCCCUAGUUGCCAGCGGGUGAUGCCGGGGACUCUAGGGAGACUGCCGUUGAUAAAACGGAGGAAGGUGGGGACGACGUCAAGUCAUCAUGGCCCUUAUGCCCCGGGCUACACACGUGCCACAAUGGUCGGUACAAAGGGACGCAAUACCGAAAGGUGGAGCAAAUCCCAAAAAGCCGACCCCAGUUCGGAUUGGGGGCUGAAAUUCGCCCUCAUGAAGUCGGAAUCGCUAGUAAUCGCGGAUCAGCAACGCCGCGGUGAAUAUGUUCCUGAGCCUUGUACACACCGCCCGUCAAGCCACGAAAGCCGGUAAUACCUGAAGUCGCUGGCCUAACCCGCAAGGGAGGGAGGCGCCGACGGUAGGAUCGGUGAUUGGGACUAAGUCGUAACAAGGUA
rnacentral:rRNA from 1 species